UUUCCUUUCUUCCCAAUUCAACCUAAGACACAGCAGCAGUAAAAGGAAAAGAGGGAAAAGGGAUAGCGGAGAGAAAGAGAGAACCGAGGGGGAAGAAGAGAAGAGGAAGGUUGCGCCGGCGCCACUGGCCAUCGCCGCUUCGUUGUCGUCGUCCUCGCGAGCCGCCACCGCCGGCCUGGAGCCCGCCGCUCGUGUCUCGCCGCGGGACUUGGUGCUGUCACUGCCAUCGCGUCGUUUGGAGAGGAAGAGUCAUGCCUGAGAGAGGGAGAAUCAGGAGGAGCGUCGCGCAGGAGGGAGGUGACGCCUUGUUGUCGCGGUGCUUCCAUGGCCACCGACGCGCCGCCGCACUUCAUCGUUACCGCAGAAGCCUUCAUCACCACAGACACAGUCAACGCUGAUUAGGGCAGAGGAGAGUGGAAAGCAUGAGAGAUACACGGAAGACAGAGGAGCAGAAACGCGACAAGGGGGAGAAGGGCGAGGUCUGCUCUCAUGCCGUCCUGCUCCGCCACCGCUGCUGCCAUCGAUUAGAUUGAAUUUUCACUAAGAAAAAUGAACCACCCAAAUAUUGUGAAGCUAAAGGAAGUUAUUCGAGAAAGUGACAUUCUGUUUUGACAACU